rnacentral:rRNA from 1 species
GACGAGCGCUGGCGGCGUGCUUAACACAUGCCAGUCGAACGGAAAGGCCCUGCUUGCAGGGUACUCGAGUGGCGAACGGGUGAGUAACACGUGGGUGAUCUGCCCUGCACUUCGGGAUAAGCCUGGGAAACUGGGUCUAAUACCGGAUAGGAGCCAUUUUUAGUGUGAUGGUUGGAAAGUUUUUUCGGUGUAGGAUGAGCUCGCGGCCUAUCAGCUUGUUGGUGGGGUAAUGGCCUACCAAGGCGGCGACGGGUAGCCGGCCUGAGAGGGUGGACGGCCACAUUGGGACUGAGAUACGGCCCAGACUCCUACGGGAGGCAGCAGUGGGGAAUAUUGCACAAUGGGCGCAAGCCUGAUGCAGCGACGCCGCGUGGGGGAUGACGGCCUUCGGGUUGUAAACUCCUUUCGCUAGGGACGAAGCUUUUUGUGACGGUACCUAGAUAAGAAGCACCGGCUAACUACGUG